GCAUAUCAAUAAGCGGAGGAAAAGAAACUAACAAGGAUUCCCCUAGUAGCGGCGAGCGAAGCGGGAAGAGCUCAAAUUUAUAAUCUGGCACCUUCGGUGUCCGAGUUGUAAUCUCUAGAAGUGUUUUCCGCGUUGGACCGCACACAAGUCUGUUGGAAUACAGCGGCAUAGUGGUGAGACCCCCGUAUAUGGUGCGGACGCCCAACGCUUUGUGAUACACUUUCGAAGAGUCGAGUUGUUUGGGAAUGCAGCUCAAAUUGGGUGGUAAAUUCCAUCUAAAGCUAAAUAUUGGCGAGAGACCGAUAGCGAACAAGUACCGUGAGGGAAAGAUGAAAAGCACUUUGGAAAGAGAGUUAACAGUACGUGAAAUUGUUGGAAGGGAAACGCUUGAAGUCAGACUUGCUUGCCGAGCAAUCGGUUUGCAGGCCAGCAUCAGUUUUCCGGGGUGGAUAAUGGUAGAGAGAAGGUAGCAGUUUCGGCUGUGUUAUAGCUCUUUGCUGGAUACACCUUGGGGGACUGAGGAACGCAGUGUGCCUUACGGCGGAUUUCUCGAGAUCUUCACACUUAGGAUGCUGGUGGAAUGGCUUUAA
rnacentral:rRNA from 1 species